rnacentral:rRNA from 1 species
AUCAAAAACAUGUCUGCAUGGGUGAUAAUUUGUAGUCUGGCCUGCCCACUGAAUGUAUUUUAAAGGGCCGCKGUAUUUUGACYGUGCAAAGGUAGCAUAAUCAAUAGUUUUUUAAUUGAAAACUGGAAUGAAAGGUCGGACAAGAAGUAGACUGUCUCUUUUAUAAGGCUUGAAUUUUACUUUUAAGUGAAAAGGCUUAAAUGAUUUAGGGGGACKAUAAGACCCUAUAAAACUUAACAGAUUUUAUUUAGAGAGGACAAUUAACGUUUAAAUAGUUUUUGGGUAAAACUGUUUUACUGGGGCKGUAUGGAUAAAAUAAAAUAACUGUCUAUAAAUUAUAAUAUUAUAAAUAGUAAAUUUGAUCCUUUAUUAGGGAUUAGGAGAUAAAGUUACUUUAGGGAUAACAGCGUAAUCUCUCUUGAGAGUCCUAAUCGACAGAGUAAGUUGCGACCUCGAUGUUGAAUUAAGGUGUUAUCUAGGCGCAGAAGUCUAGACKGUAGGUCUGUUCGACCUUAAAACCUAC